rnacentral:rRNA from 1 species
UGAGCAACCUGCCCUUCACUUUGGGAUAACCCUCGGAAACGGGGGCUAAUAUCGGAUAGGACUGCUGGCCGCAUGGUUGGUGGUGGAAAGUUUUUCGGUGAGGGAUGGGCUCGCGGCCUAUCAGCUUGUUGGUGGGGUGAUGGCCUACCAAGGCGACGACGGAUAACCGGCCUGAGAGGGCGACCGGUCACACGUGGGACUGAGGCACCGGCCCAGACCUCCGUACGGGAGCA